rnacentral:rRNA from 1 species
AGUGAACGCUGGCGGUAGGCCUAACACAUGCAAGUCGAACGGCAGCACAGUAAGAGCUUGCUCUUACGGGUGGCGAGUGGCGGACGGGUGAGGAAUACAUCGGAAUCUACUUUUUCGUGGGGGAUAACGUAGGGAAACUUACGCUAAUACCGCAUACGACCUACGGGUGAAAGCAGGGGAUCUUCGGACCUUGCGCGAUUGAAUGAGCCGAUGUCGGAUUAGCUAGUUGGCGGGGUAAAGGCCCACCAAGGCGACGAUCCGUAGCUGGUCUGAGAGGAUGAUCAGACACACUGGAACUGAGACACGGCCCAGACUCCUACGGGAGGCAGCAGUGGGGAAUAUUGGACAAAGGGCGCAAGCCUGAUCCAGCCAUACCGCGUGGGUGAAGAAGGCCUUCGGGUUGUAAAGCCCUUUUGUUGGGAAAGAAAAGCAGCAGGUUAAUACCCCGCUGUUCUGACGGUACCCAAAGAAUAAGCACCGGCUAACUUCGUG